ACCUGGCUGGCUCAUUCAAAAGAGCAUGUGACUCUUGAUCUCAGCGUUGUGAGUUCAAGCCCCAUGUUGGGUG
rnacentral:tRNA from 1 species